rnacentral:rRNA from 1 species
AGGCAGCCGUUGGGAAUUUUCGGCAAUGGGGGGAACUCUGAUCCAGCCCCGCCGCGUGUGUGAAGAAGGCUUUUGGGUUGUAAAACUCUUUUAUUUUGGAAGAGCGAACUCUAGUUAAUUCCUAUGGUUUUUUGACGUUACCUACAGAAUAAGCACCGGCUAACUUCGUGCCAGCAGCCGCGGUAAUACGGAGGGUGCAAGCGUUAUUCGGAUUUAUUGGGCGUAAAGCGCGCGUAGGUGGUUUAUUAAGUCGGAUGUGAAAUCCCCGGGCUCAACUUGGGAACUGCAUUCAAAACUGGUGAGCUAGAGUACGGAAGAGGGUGGUGGAAUUCCAUGUGUAGCGGUGAAAUGCGUAGAUAUAUGGAAGGAACACCGGUGGCGAAGGCAGCCACCUGAGU